rnacentral:rRNA from 1 species
AAUAGAUACCCAGGUAGUCCAUGCCGUAAACGUUGGGCACUAGGUGUGGGACCCCCUCAACGGGUUCCGUGCCGUAGCUAACGCAUUAAGUGCCCCGCCUGGGGAGUACGGCCGCAAGGCUAAAACUCAAAGGAAUUGACGGGGGCCCGCACAAGCAGCGGAGCAUGUUGCUUAAUUCGAGGCAACGCGAAGAACCUUACCUGGGUUUGACAUGUACGGAAAAGCCACAGAGAUGUGGUGUCCUUUUGGGCCGUACACAGGUGGUGCAUGGUUGUCGUCAGCUCGUGUCGUGAGAUGUUGGGUUAAGUCCCGCAACGAGCGCAACCCUUGUCCUAUGUUGCCAGCGGGUAAUGCCGGGGACUCGUAGGAGACUGCCGGGGACAACGUCGGAGGAAGGUGGGGAUGACGUCAAAUCAUCAUGCCCCUUAUGUCCAGGGCUGCAAACAUGCUACAAUGGCCAGUACAAAGGGCUGCUAGUACCGCGAGGUUGAGCGAAUCCCGACAAAGCUGGUCUCAGUUCGGAUUGGAGUCUGCAACUCGA